ACCCCUAACCCUAUGCAGUAUUUGGAGCUCAUAAAAUACUGGAAGUGUUUAGGAGUAA
rnacentral:pre_miRNA from 1 species